GCGGCGCGCGACAGAUGAGCGAAGCCUGAACUUCUCUUGGGGAGGUCCACUUCCCACACCCGAUGACUCUUCGAUGGGGCAAAAAAAUUCCUGGAAUGCUUCAGUGUCAAUACUAAGCUUUAUAAUCCGCUAUUGCCACAAGCUAACUAUCUGCUGCUGUGGAGGCCCCAAAACCACGCCGUCCUCGCGUUUCCCUCAGCUUUGGAGGAGGACCAGGUGUGAGAAGAACUCGGAAAAUUCAACAGGGUGAUUCCUUCCCGGGAAGGAACAUUCAAGAAAGUCUGGUCCCUGGGGCGGGGACUGAGGCUGCUGCAGCCCCAAAAGGCCGAGGAACAGGCGGAGGUGGGCAGAGGAGCACCGAAGAAAGGGACAGGAGGGCCGGGGGUCGCGAGGCGCAGAGCGAGCGGCCGAGUCUCCAGAGGAGAAAAGUGCCGAGACUGCUGUAGUGAACCGGAGAACCCCCCGCCCCAAGCCAUCCCAACAGAGCGGGGAGGGACCGGACCGCCACUACCGCCCGAGAGGAGCCACGUCUGCCCAAGGGCCUCAGCUUCAGUCCCCAAGGUCGGGGAAGCGUCUCACCUGGGAAGUGGGACAACGAGGCGGCGCGUUCUUCAGUCCCCUGUUGCCAGUGCUCGGGUCAGGUACCCACUCCCUUCCCUUAGCCCGCUGGCGGCGCAACUGGGCAGCAGAGGGAGCCAGUUAGCCCUUUUAUAACCUCCAGGCCGGGCUCGCUACGUGCGCUCGAUCACACCAGCGCCCCGCCGACUGCGCAGGCGCUAAGGCCGGCCUCCCCACCGCCGCCUCCAGCCGCGGCGCACACCAGCUCCCCAGCCAGCCCACGGAUUCUGAGGCGGAGACUGGCAGGCGAGCCUGGGAUGUAGGGCGCCUGCGCAGGGUUCUCGCCACGCCACCGUGGUAACCCUAGGUUUCCCCGCUCCCUUUCUUCAGAGGCGAAUGUAGUAAUUACGACUGACCUCUUAGACUGGAUAAGCAUUCUUGAGAUCAUGGGAAUUAUCUGAGGAAGAGGGACCCCAGCAAAGAAGAAAGGCCUUCUGUCAUUACCAUGGAAACUCAUAUCAAGAUGAAGUCUUCAUCAGUCCUAUUCCCUGUGUGCCUACAAAGAGCAGAGCUCCAAAUUCUCCCCUGCCUUGAUAAUCUGUAUUGGAUGUGUAGCUCGAAUGAAAAAUAAAUGUUAGUUAUGUUAAGGCACUUAAAGUUGGGGGUCAUUAAUAACUGCAGCAUUACCUAGAAUAUCUUAACCUGUAUAUUGGCUGAGCAAAUAAAAUCAAACUUUUCCUUUA